UCCUCAGUAGCUCAGUGGUAGAGCAUCCGGCUGUUAACCGGAUGGUCGUAGGUUCAAAUCCUACCUGGGGAG
rnacentral:tRNA from 1 species